rnacentral:piRNA from 1 species
UGUAAAUUUGAUUUUUUUUCAGUAUGUGU